rnacentral:rRNA from 1 species
GAUGAACGCUGGCGGCGUGCCUAAUACAUGCAAGUCGAGCGAACAGACGAGGAGCUUGCUCCUCUGACGUUAGCGGCGGACGGGUGAGUAACACGUGGAUAACCUACCUAUAAGACUGGGAUAACUUCGGGAAACCGGAGCUAAUACCGGAUAAUAUAUUGAACCGCAUGGUUCAAUAGUGAAAGACGGUUUUGCUGUCACUUAUAGAUGGAUCCGCGCCGCAUUAGCUAGUUGGUAAGGUAACGGCUUACCAAGGCAACGAUGCGUAGCCGACCUGAGAGGGUGAUCGGCCACACUGGAACUGAGACACGGUACAGACUCCUACGGGAGGCAGCAGUAGGGAAUCUUCCGCAAUGGGCGAAAGCCUGACGAAGAAACGCCGCGUGAGUGAUGAAGGUCUUCGGAUCGUAAAACUCUGUUAUUAGGGAAGAACAAAUGUGUAAGUAACUAUGCACGUCUUGAAGGUACCUAAUCAGAAAGCCACGGCUAACUACGUG